ensembl:lncRNA
GCCGGCAUUGUAAAUAAGAAUUUGUUCUUAACUGACGUGCCUAGUUAAAUAAAGGUUUUUUUUUUUAAAGAAGGGGGAAAAAACUUUCAAAAUCACUUGCAGCCAAAGUCAUCAAAACUCAAACUCCUGUUCUGUUUUCAUUGCAGCUACAAAAGAAGGAACACACUGUUUGUGCGCUUAGUAUUGUGCCAAGUGUUUUGUCUUAUUUGAUGUGUUAAAUGACUGCUUUCAUAUCACAUGAAUAGACAGCACAACAAAAAGAACAAAGGAUCAGAACACUGACAUGUUACUGACCGCUGGAAAAAGGCUGUGAUGGGCGUGAGAGGUUUGUAUGUUGAAUAUGUGAGAGGUUGGUCUGUUAAACGAGUGCAUCUGCUCUGUCUCCUCUUGCACUGUCUUAUAGGAUGGUCUUACUGUAGCUACAGUACUACACAAGCAGUAAGUCCUUGCUGGUAAAAAAAAAAUCUCUAAAUACUUAUAUUUUCCAACUCAGGCCAGGUAUGAAAGGGUUGAGAAGAAUGAGGCUUGGUUUUCUUUUGAGUCUGUGACCCUGAUGUCAUUUAUUUUUAAAAGUUCAGAGCUAAAUUACUCCUGAGUUUUUGUACGGGGUUAGCGACGCUUGAGCCCUACAUUCUACAAGCAGAACAUUUUACAUGUUUUCUACUUCCCUGCUCUUUAGUAAUGAGUUGCACUCAUUUGAACUAAUGCCUCUGACAUUAAAAUACUCUAAUUGAGGUGAUUAUAUGGGUAGUUUAGCUAGGUCUUACUGUUAGUCUUAAGGACACUCAUACUUACUCAUAAGUAAUCUCUAAAGGUGGGAUAUGUUUGUGUUUUCUCCCCAUUCCCGGACUUCUCUUCCUGGUUUUUGAGGAAUGUGUGUACAGCAUCUACCGUUUUAAAUACAUCUCUGCUAAAUAGAUGAUACUGUUGUCUAACCUGUUUGAAAACACACCAUGUACUAUGUCACCAAAUGCAGAUAGACUGUAUCUAUAAGUGUUUGUGGUGUCACUUUAGAGGUACUGUACAGUACAGACCAAAUGUGAAACAAUCUGGACCUGAAUAGUGUUUCAAUGUUCCCUUAUACAUAUCAGUGACACUUUUUAAUAGCUAAAAAAAAAACUACAACCAGCCUUAGUGUCUGACCUGAGUGAUACUGUUCAUACACAGUGACAGAAUACCUCUUAUUGUGAAGUUCAAGUACACAUCCUAACAUUGAGAAGUCUGUACUAUAGCCUGAUUUUAGCAUUGAUUGUAUGCAAACAAGUAGACCGUUGGUGGACGAAGAGACACUUGCCUAUGAAAUCUGGUCUUCAAAGCUUUACAAUCCUCCCUGUGCUCUGGUCCCUGUACAGAGUAGGCAGAAUAAUACAUUUGACAUUUGUAAGCUUGCACAAUUAUGACAUGCAGAGGGGUAGGCGAUCUGUCUUUAAUGUGAUUAAUGUAUUAUAUAAUUCUUAAACUAUUAAACAGUCAUUUUUCUGUUACUCAGUAUCCUGUUAUUUGUUUGCAUGCAAGUAUAAUGUGUGAAGGCUCUCUAAUGGAGGGAUGUUGUAGUCUCAUUUUUUUUGUUUCAUAUUCUG